CAGCCGCCGCGGGAAUACGAAGGGGGCUAGCGUUGCUCGGAAUGACUGGGCGUAAAGGGCGCGUAGGCGGAUGGCACAGUCAGAUGUGAAAUUCCCGGGCUUAACCUGGGGGCUGCAUUUGAUACGUGUUGUCUAGAGUGAGGAAGAGGGUCGUGGAAUUCCCGGUGUAGAGGUGAAAUUCGUAGAUAUUGGGAAGAACACCGGUGGCGAAGGCGGCGACCUGGUCCUUUACUGACGCUGAGGCGCGAAAGCGUGAGGAGCAAACAGGAUUAGAUACCCGCGUAGUCCCUGUCUCUUAUAC
rnacentral:rRNA from 1 species